rnacentral:rRNA from 15 species
CGGCCCAGACUCCUACGGGAGGCAGCAGUGGGGAAUAUUGGACAAUGGGCGAAAGCCUGAUCCAGCGACGCCGCGUGAGGGAUGACGGCCUUCGGGUUGUAAACCUCUUUCAGCAGGGAAGAAGCGAAAGUGACGGUACCUGCAGAAGAAGCACCGGCUAACUACGUGCCAGCAGCCGCGGUAAUACGUAGGGUGCAAGCGUUGUCCGGAAUUAUUGGGCGUAAAGAGCUCGUAGGCGGUUUGUCGCGUCUGCUGUGAAAACCCGAGGCUCAACCUCGGGCCUGCAGUGGGUACGGGCAGACUAGAGUGCGGUAGGGGAGAUUGGAAUUCCUGGUGUAGCGGUGGAAUGCGCAGAUAUCAGGAGGAACACCGAUGGCGAAGGCAGAUCUCUGGGCCGUAACUGACGCUGAGGAGCGAAAGCAUGGGGAGCGAACAGGAUUAGAUACCCUGGUAGUCCAUGCCGUAAACGUUGGGCGCUAGGUGUGGGGUCCAUUCCACGGAUUCCGUGCCGCAGCUAACGCAUUAAGCGCCCCGCCUGGGGAGUACGGCCGCAAGGCUAAAACUCAAAGGAAUUGACGGGGACCCGCACAAGCGGCGGAGCAUGCGGAUUAAUUCGA